GAUGAACGCUGGCGGCGCGCCUNACACAUGCAAGCCGAACGAUUAAAGCACCUUCGGGUGUGUAUAAAGUGGCGAACGGCUGAGUAACACGUGGGCAACCUGCCCCUCUCAUUGGGAUAGCCACGGGAAACCGUGGAUAAUACCGAAUACUUCGAGUCUCCCGCAUGGAAGACUCGAGAAAGCUCCGGCGGAGAGGGAUGGGCCCGCGGCCUGUUAGCUUGUUGGUGGGGUAACGGCCUACCAAGGCAAUGAUGGGUAGCUGGGUUGAGAGACCGACCAGCCAGAUUGGGACUGAGACACGGCCCAGACUCCUACGGGAGGCAGCAGUGGGGAAUCUUGCACAAUGGGCGAAAGCCUGAUGCAGCGACGCCGCGUGCGGGAUGAAGGCCUUCGGGUUGUAAACCGCUUUCAGCAGGGACGAGGCGAAAGUGACGGUACCUGCAGAAGAAGCCCCGGCUAACUACGUGCCAGCAGCCGCGGUAAUACGUAGGGGGCAAGCGUUAUCCGGAUUCAUUGGGCGUAAAGCGCUCGUAGGCGGUCUGUUAGGUCGGGAGUUAAAUCCGGGGGCUCAACCCCCGUUCGCUCCCGAUACCGGCAGACUUGAGUUUGGUAGGGGAAGGUGGAAUUCCUAGUGUAGCGGUGGAAUGCGCAGAUAUUAGGAAGAACACCAGUGGCGAAGGCGGCCUUCUGGGCCAUAACUGACGCUGAGGAGCGAAAGCUAGGGGAGCAAACAGG
rnacentral:rRNA from 1 species